UUAAAAUUUGUGCCUUUUCUGCAUCAAUUAAUGGUGCAAAUGUCUUUAUUUAUGUAAAGGAAUUCAUAAUAGGUUUUUGGGGUGGGUAGCACUGGCCAUUUUUGAUUAUUGGGGGGGUGGUAAUAUGCUGUUUAU